UCUUUUUUUUUCUUUCUUUUGAUUUCGUCACAAUUAACUAAUGUGUAAUUUGUUCAAUGAAGACUAAGACCACUUUUGUUUGUUCCAGAGGGAUAGUCAGACAUCUGAGAUUCCAAAAACAGGCAUAUUCCCAUCUGUUUACUACAUCACCUGAUGACAUAAACAAAACAUCAUGAUGCAUGACAAACAACAAGUGCGAUGACAGCAAAGGAUUGUGACAUCCAGCCUUGUCCUCCCAUCCUCGACAUGCCACCCCCUGUCACCACAGACAAUGUCAAUCACAGAAAAUAGAAGCAACUGUCAGAGACGCUAUCUCAUCGUGGGCAACCUUUUGUUGCAAAUGACUGAAAUCUGACAGGUAACUGUAGCUAUUGUUCAUUUCAUUGCAUCUAGCAUGAAAGAGAAGCAUUAUGACGUAUAAGAAGGAAGCACAAUGGUUAUGGCCUGUUUAUUCAAGAAACGAGCCUCAGGUCUGGGAUGUAAUGGAAUUGACCCACGGUGAACUGUUCUAUUACAUGGAGUAACUGUUUUUUUUCUUGAUUUGUGUGGGAUUUGUGCAGUUCAGGAGGAACAAGAGACACUAUGACACACUUCAAAAGAGAAAAUGGUGCUGCUGUGCAUUUUUGCAGUCAAUCUAAUCUGGUAAUCCUCCCAUCUUCCUUCCCGCUGAUGACGCUUCACAGGAGAGUGCGGACUGGACUUUUUAAUGGCUUUCAUGGGUGGGGGAGGAGGAAAAGAAAAGCUGUUUAUUGAUGGAGAAAUAUCCUUUCAAUACUCAUGCAAGCCGUUGAAGCCAACAGAACGCAAUAACAACCAAUUAAAGCAGUGGCCCAUAAAAAUAGAUCACAGCACAACUAGAUUAAACGAUAAUUUAGGUCUCAAUUCAAUAAGAGUGAGGCAAAGCAAUUUAGAUCUUCACAAUAAGCAGGAAAUAUAGAAUGCAUUUGUCAACACCAUUUGCAUAGAAAUGACUUUUCAUCACUUUCCAUUAUUGUGUGAAUUUCGCUUGAGCCAAUACAUUUUCUCAACAUAACUCAAUGGAAGCAAUUGGUCUGGAGUUAACAGCAUUAGGUCUCUGUUCUCGAAGCUACAGAAACAAAUUGCUGUUGGACUUUUUCUCAACUAAAAAUCGAAGCAUUCAAAUAGUUUCACUUGUUCCAAACCUAAUCUAAUUUUCGAGCGAAAUGCAUCUAAUGUUUCAACCUGAUAACGGUUUGUGUUUCCAAUUCUGCCACCAUUUCAGCUGUACAAUAAAUUGAAUUUUAAAGAUGUACAGCAAAAUUGGCUUAUAAUAGCUUAAUUGCUAUAAUAAUUUAACUGACUUUGUUUCUCUCAAGCUUUAGAGUAAGAACAGCCCGUUUAGCUCCAAAAUGCGAGCGCUUGUGAAUAAUUUCCAGAACAGAGUCAGAUGUAUGCAAGUCACGCAACCAGAUCUCUAAAUGACAGAAGUAACUUUGCGAGCUCUUUCAUUUCAAGGACACUGAAGAAAGUGCUAAUCUGAAGCAUCCAAGCAUGCAAUCAAUCUUUUU